rnacentral:rRNA from 1 species
GACAGAGGGUGCGAACGUUGUUCGGAAUUACUGGGCGUAAAGCGCGUGUAGGCGGCAGCGCAAGUCGGGCGUGAAAUCCCACGGCUCAACUGUGGAAGUGCACUCGAAACUGCGCAGCUAGAGUCCUGGAGAGGAAGGUGGAAUGCUUGGUGUAGAGGUGAAAUUCGUAGAUAUCAAGCGGAACACCGGUGGCGAAGGCGGCCUUCUGGACAGUGACUGACGCUGAGACGCGAAAGCGUGGGGAGCAAACAGG